rnacentral:lncRNA from 1 species
UAUGCUUGAGACAUGCUUGUUCACCAUGGUGCCAAUUUAAAAGUCAUAGCUAAUUGCAUGCAUUUAUAAAAAUGAAGGCAGUGUAUCCCGGAAUCUUGCAGUGACAGCUUUCUCUCAGGGUGAUCCCUAUUUCACACCAUCUGAGACACAGGCUUAAAGAGCAGAUGGGCAGAAGCCAGUCUCCUGAUCGAUGGUGGGGUGUCCCGUUCUGAGGC